UACGUAGGGGGCAAGCGUUGUCCGGAAUCAUUGGGCGUAAAGCGCGCGUAGGCGGCCCGGUAAGUCCGCUCUGAAAGUCCAGGGCUCAACCCUGGAAAGCGGGUGGAUACUGCCGGGCUAGAAUCCGGAAGAGGCGAGUGGAAUUCCGGGUGUAGCGGUGAAAUGCGUAGAUAUCCGGAGGAACACCGGUGGCGAAGGCGGCAUCCUGGACCGACAUUGACGCUGAGGAGCGAAAGCUAGGGGAGCAAACGGG
rnacentral:rRNA from 1 species